rnacentral:rRNA from 1 species
UACGUAGGGUGCGAGCGUUAAUCGGAAUUACUGGGCGUAAAGCGUGCGCAGGCGGUUCGUUAAGUCCGAUGUGAAAGCCCCGGGCUCAACCUGGGAACUGCAUUUGAAACUGGCGGGCUUGAGUAUGGCAGAGGGGGGUGGAAUUCCGCGUGUAGCAGUGAAAUGCGUAGAGAUGCGGAGGAACACCGAUGGCGAAGGCAGCCCCCUGGGCCAAUACUGACGCUCAGGCACGAAAGCGUGGGGAGCAAACAGG